rnacentral:tRNA from 1 species
GCGGAUAUGGCGGAACUGGUAGACGCGCUAGUUUCAGGUACUAGUGAACGCAAGUUCAUGGAGGUUCGAGUCCUCUUAUCCGCACCA